rnacentral:rRNA from 1 species
GACGAACGCUGGCGGCGUGCCUAAUACAUGCAAGUAGAACGCACAGUUUAUACCGUAGCUUGCUACACCAUAGACUGUGAGUUGCGAACGGGUGAGUAACGCGUAGGUAACCUGCCUGGUAGCGGGGGAUAACUAUUGGAAACGAUAGCUAAUACCGCAUAAUAUUAAUUAUUGCAUGAUAAUUAAUUGCAAGGGGCAAUUGCACCACUACCAGAUGGACCUGCGGUGUAUUAGCUAGUAGGUGAGGUGACGGCGCACCUAGGCGACGAUACAGCGUCGCCCUGCGAGGGUGGGCGGCCACCCUGGGACUGUGACCCGGCCCAGAGUGCCUCAGGAGGCAGCAGUAGGGCAUCUUCAGCAAUGGACGAAAGUCUGACCGCGCAAGGCCGAGUGAGUGAAGAAGGUUUUCGGGUCGUAAAGCUCGGUUGUCAGGGAAGAACGGGUGUGAGAGUGGAAAGUUCACACUGUGACGGUAUCUUAUCAGAAAGAGACGGCUAACUACGUG